rnacentral:rRNA from 1 species
GACGAACUCUGGCGGCGUGCUUAACACAUGCCAGUCGAACGAAGUGGCGAACGGGUGAGUAACGCGUAAUCAACCUGCCCUUCAGAGGGGGACAACAGUUGGAAACGACUGCUAAUACCGCAUACUGAAGGAGGGGAUUGCGUCUGAUUAGCUAGUUGGAGGGGUAACGGCCCACCAAGGCGAUGAUCAGUCGCCGGGCUGAGAGGAGGAACGGCCAAAUUGGGACCGAGAAACGGCCCAGACUCCUACGGGAGGCAGCAGUGGGGAAUGUGCCGCAAGGGACGAAAGUCUGACGGAGCAACGCCGCGUGAGUGAUGACGGCCUUCGGGUUGUAAAGCUCUGUUAAUCGGGACGCGGUACCGGAAUAGAAAGCCACGGCUAACUACGUGCCAGCAGCCGCGGUAAUUC